rnacentral:rRNA from 1 species
UACGUAGGUGGCAAGCGUUGUCCGGAUUUAUUGGGGUUUAAAGGGUGCGUAGGCGGUCUUUUAAGUCAGUGCUGAAAUACUCCAGCUUAACUGGAGGGGUGGCAUUGAUACUGGAGACUUGAGUAUAGUUGAGGUAGGCGGAAUUGACGGUGUAGCGGUGAAAUGCUUAGAUAUCGUCAAGAACACCGAUAGUGAAGACAGCUUACUAAACUAUAACUGACGCUGAGGCACGAAAGUGUGGGGAUCAAACAGG